rnacentral:rRNA from 1 species
UUCCUUCUUCCCACUUACCCCACUGGGGAGGGAGCAGUCCGCAAGAUGCCAAGAAUGGGGGUUCUCCAAGUCUGCGGAGGAGGGGGAAGAAGAGUAGAGGAGGAGGAAGGAGGGGAGGGUGGAGGAGAUAUAUGUGGUAUGUAUGCGGCAUCAGAGGGAAGAGGUGAGGAGACUAGUGGUCGGCGGCGGGCGGAGCCGGGGGCGGCUAGGUUGGGCCCAAGAGGAACUAAGCCGCGGGUCCUUGUUCUUCCUCGCCGGAAAGCCUACAGAUCGCAGCGCUGGGUCCUCCGCCGCAACCCCAGCUGGAACGUCCUCUUCCGUCGGUCGUCCUUGUUCGCGUUCAAGGCACGGCUUGGUGGCAGGCCGCUCGACCGGGGGAAGCCCGACCUCAUGGGCGACUGCUGCCUGACGCACCCCAAACUCAAAUACAGCGGACUCUUCCGACGGUACCGCCGCCGCCGGCGACGACGACUCCCACGGUUAGAUCUGAAGUAGGGCUCGUGGACACUACGGACGUUUCCGUAGGUGCGGUGUCGCCUCCUCGAUAAUCUCACAGUCGCCAUACACUUAACCUCACUGGGUUUACUCUGUGUCGACCUCCUCUAGGAAGAGUUCUCAGACCUAUGUUGGAAACUGUUACGACAGUCACACUAGUGGUGUUACCCGAUGAGUCUCCGACGGCGUUCCCGACGCCAACACUCCCGUCGGCGUGUCAUGUCGACCUCCCUCUCGGAACGACCCAAGUCACUCCGGCGCCAGCUCCACGAGUUCAGGCUCCCCCUGUACAAUGGCUCCCUACCGAGGAGGGAACUCCUGUACUCCUUCUAACUCGUCCAACACGAACGAUCGGACCAACGCCACCAGUUACUCCGGGUCGGCAAGAUGUGGUGUCCGCUACACUACAAAACGAACGAGUACAGUCUAUACUUACAUCGGGUACGGACACGGUACCUGAUAUCGCGACGAGGAGAAGGCCGACACCCACGAGUUCACUAACGUGUCGGUCAACACCCCUUGAUACUUGGGUGGGGUUGAAGGCUAGACAGCCAAAGAUAAUGGUUGGGUGUCUGACCACAAUGAAAGGCGCCGUUUGAAUGGGGUCACGGUGGACCGUGUAUGUUACGACACUUUCGACUAAGUAGGUGUUGUGGUCACUUGGGCUUACACGGUUCACCGUUCGGUACACAGAGACCGUUCUACGUAGGACACCGUGGUUUACAAUUCGGUUUUCUUGUGGGCCGACGAUGCGGACUAGUAAGUCUCCUAGUUGGUAAACAACGACGACGCUGUGUUAGACACUUCCUACUAUUCGGUAAGGGAUCGUUCUCCCCUCCGAGAUUCUCCCUAAGGAACGUGGCCGUCUUCAAUUACUCGAAACUAUUCUUAAGGGCUCGCAACCCGAGAUUUCCUAGAGAAUCCAGACCGUUCAUAUAGAGAACACCCUGACAUCGUAAUCUCUCCUUCACGUCCGUCCAAAGUCUAAGACGAUGUACAUCGAACUUUCCACGUAGUUUUUAACGGUUUCCCAAACGACGUUCGUACUUUCCCAGUCUUAUAAGUCAACUGGAAAGAAAAUGUCGGUGACCAUGGUAACGGAGGUAGGGUAGUAAACUACGAUUCCGGGGGUUAUUGUGACUGGGUCGUAGUCGACGAUCGUGUCUUAACAGUAACAGCAACGGUAACGGAAACGGAAAUGGAAGGAGUUCACUACCAAGACGAGGAAGAAACUUAGUACUAAGAUCACGACUUCAACAUCUGGGAUCGUCGUUUUAAUUGAAACGUAUACUACUCCUAGUCUUCCAGACCUAAGGUGUUCUAUUCUUCCUACUUUACCAGAACUAAGAACAGGUCUCCGUCUUUCUCAACGUUCGUGUAUACUCCCUAACCUGUCUGACCCGAUACCUCUUCCACUACGUCCAGUGUGCCGCUGAACGGUUUCUCUUCCUCCUCGAAGUCAGUGAGGCCUUUCUCUUCCUUCUCCGCUCGGCUGAAGUACUACUUUCCGUGACAGACCUUCUCUCGUGAGCCUUCUUCGAAAAUCUCUACCUCAGACGAUAAAGAUCCCGUUUGUUAGUUGACCUAUUUCGUCUACGAAGACGAGCAUCCGCACUCCGACUCUUACGUGUUGAAUCCUACGUCUACCUUCGGCGUUUCGCCGUGCGUCGACUCAGACACCGUUUAAAACACCUCGAAAGUUUCUUCCUACUCUCGUCAGAAUUUUCCAGGGUCGUAACCCUUAGACUCUCUCGGUACAACGUUCUCGUCGAACGUAGACUUUUCUCGUUUGAUUGAGCCCAAGUCGUUGUUGAAGUCGUACGAUUUCUCUUCUUCCUUGUUGAGUUCCAUUCCACCUCUGUCCUUCUCCGAUCCUUCUGGCUCCGUUAACGGACACACUCGAGUCUCUCCUUUCUCGCCCCAGUCUAACUCUGUAGAGACUCCAGCCUUCUCUUAAAGGACGUGGAGUUUCGACUCUUGCUGUACGUCUCUAUGUUCUCGCUCUAGGCACGGGACCUCGUCGUCUAGAGCGUCGACUUCCAUAGGGACCUGCGAAGUCUCCGCCGACGAGGGUUCACCCCUUGCCUGCUGUUCUGGGCGGGGGACGCAGAGAGGCUCCCCUCUUUCUUGCCGCCGUUGCGCGUCCAGGACCGGUUCUACCGCCCCCGCCACCGGGACCUGGAGCUGAAGCUGCUGUAGGUCGCGCUGGCGCUCACGCAGUACACGGACUCGCUCCUCUACAGCCACCACAAGGAGGGGACGCGGGUGGUCCACCAGACGCGGUUCACGUUGCUGGAGGUGCUGUUCGUCCCCUACUUCCUCACGGGCAGCACGGCCUGGGAGUAGGUCGCGUCCCAGACACGGGCGUGGCGCCCGACGACUCACUCUUCUCUCUCUAAAACGUAAGCGCAGCAGCGAUAUGGGCAAAAAGGAAAAGAAAAACUACUAACGGGUCGAACUUAAACUACCUCUAACCUUUUUUCUUAUUGCUCACAGCCAGCCUGCUUAUUGCGAACCAGCUCUGUAGCAUGUGGGGGGUUUCUACUACCUAUUACCUACCGUUACAGACCAUCAAAACCUGGCCUGACCUACCAGGUAACAAUCGUACAAGUAAAGACCAAGGACCCGUCGCCAACCACUAUUCCCUUACCCUC